rnacentral:rRNA from 1 species
UAACCUACCCAUCAGAGGGGGAUAACGCUUGGAAACAGGUGCUAAUACCGCAUAACAGUUUAUGCCGCAUGGCAUAAGAGUGAAAGGCGCUUUCGGGUGUCGCUGAUGGAUGGACCCGCGGUGCAUUAGCUAGUUGGUGAGGUAACGGCUCACCAAGGCCACGAUGCAUAGCCGACCUGAGAGGGUGAUCGGCCACACUGGGACUGAGACACGGCCCAG